CUACAACAGAGAUUCUUCAAACGUAGAUUGAAGAACACGAGAAAGGAAGACUCGAAAAACCAGAGGGAGUGUUGACGUGGCUCCACUUCCCGCCAUUCUUCUCCGCCGUCGUCUUCACCAUCAUCGUUCCACUUUCUUCACCACCACCGCCAAUCAUUGCCACCGCUUGGCCACUCAAACUUCCAGCAAAAACCGAAGUCAUCGUCGUCACCGGAAGCCGAAUCGUAUCCAUAAUUACCUUCCAUUUCAUCGAAUCGUCUUCAACUUCCCAAUGAGGCUGACUCUGUCUCUCGCUAUCAAUAAAACACCAUAACCGACAACCUCUAAAAUCUCCGGGGAAUUCAGCAGCAGCCGCGGCGGUGCGACCUCUCGGACUCAAAUCGGGAAACGGCCAGACAUUCUCGAUUGUCGACCAUGAAUUCGUAAUCGGAUCGUAAAUCUCGCCGUCAGAUCGGAAUUGGCCUUGCGUCUCCGUUCCAUAACCGCUCAAAACACAAAAUCCAGGAUCCGUCGCCAUCGAGAAUCCGUGACACUCGUCUCUUCCUUCCGUCAUCGGAGGAAGCAUCGACCACUCGUCUUUCUCUACAUCGUACACUUCCGCCGAUCGGAGAGCGUUCUUCUGAUCAUCAUGUCCUCCGGCGACGUAAACCUUCGUCGAACCAACAGAAGCACAGGCGAAAAACGAUCUCGCCGCCGACAUCGGCCUGCCUCUUCUGAACCUUCUUCCGCUUCCUUCUCCGGCGAAGAAAUCCAGAACAAAAACAUCUCGCACAGGCUGCAACGUCUCCGGAUCCCAACCGCCGAUUAACAACACUUUCCCCGCGUCCUGAAUCGCAACGCAUUCGCAGAACAAAGGAAUCCGUUCAGGAAUCGCGACUCGGUGCCACGUGUCCAGCGUUGCGUUAUAAACGCUUAAACCGUAAAGUGGCGUUCCAGUAAUACGCGGUUGUAGCAGCUGCUGCGUCAUCUGAGACUCGCCUUCUUCUUCCUCUUUCUUCUUCUGACUCAUCUCACCACCUUCCAUCAUCGCCGGAGACGGUGGUGAAGUCAGAGGUUGAACAAGGCAGAGAAGAGAUUCAGCUUUACCAAAACCUAUCCGUUCCUUGAUAAAAGAACGACUGGAGAUAACGCAUUUCCAUGAUCGGCAAACAGAUUUGAUGGAAGAAUGAAACUGAAAAGGAACUCUAACCAAACACUCAAUUGCUAAUUCCUCUGGUAACCCUGGGAUUAAAUCUCCUCUAAUCUCACCUGAUUUCUUCUUUGACACUCCCAUUAGUUAUUACCUAAUUAGAGCUACGAGACACUAACAGAUUGUGAAGAUAAAAGAAUCUAUGAUUUGGAUAGAUCGGAAACUGUAAGAGACACUGAAGGAGAUGCUAUUGGUAAGAG
rnacentral:lncRNA from 1 species